AAAAACAUCAUUAAUAGGAUGAACUUUCUCAAUUUUACAUAGCAUCUACAACUUAAUGAGAUUAUCAUGAUGCAUCAUGUUAUAAGCCUGGGUACAACAAGAAAUUUUCUCCCCAUAUUAACAUAAUUUUGCCUUUUUUUAUAAGAGAUUUUUAAGAUUUACAAUGGGAGGUAGAGUUAUCUCCCAUCCCAUUAAGCCUACCUCACAUUUCCUAGGAUUUUAAGUUUUAAAAUGGCUGG
rnacentral:lncRNA from 1 species